UACGUAGGGUGCGAGCGUUGUCCGGAAUUAUUGGGCGUAAAGAGCUCGUAGGCGGUGUGUCGCGUCGGCCGUGAAAACCUGCAGCUUAACUGUGGGCUUGCGGUCGAUACGGGCAUCACUGGAGUUCGGCAGGGGAGACUGGAAUUCCUGGUGUAGCGGUGAAAUGCGCAGAUAUCGGGAAGAACACCCGUGGCGAAGGCGGUUCUCUGGGACGGUACUGACGCUGAGACGCGAAAGCGUGGGGAGCGAACAGG
rnacentral:rRNA from 1 species